AUGCCACCCUGAGGGUGGUGAACGGGGUGGAGGCUGUGCCUCACUCCUGGCCCUGGCAGGUGUCCAUGCAGGCCAGUCCGUUCCCUCCCAUCCCCUACAUGCACGGCUGUGGAGGCUCCCUCAUCCACCCUGAAUGGAUCCUCACUGCAGCCCACUGCUUCAUGAAGCCUCUGAACAACCCCAGUUUCUGGCGCAUGUGCCUGGGUAAACACCACAUGAACUCGUCCCUG